CCCCCCUUAAUUCCCGAUUCCCAAUCCCCGACUCCAAAUUCUUAUCUCCUCAAUCCUCAUCUCAUCACUUUCUUUCUUUUAGUUUUCCCUCACUUCUCUCUUCUCUCCGCAUUACCUAAAACAAUUUCCACAAGCAACAAACAAACAAACAACUCUCAGUAACUCUGCCUCCACUACUUCACUCCAAAUUCAAACAAACAGUAUUACAGGGAUAGGUCCCAGUGGUAUGGCUUCAAAUGAACACAGAAAGCUUUAAUAGAUAUUCCUCGGCUUCCAAUUCCAGAUGCCUUAUCCUUAAAGUAAUAAAGGGAAGAUGGUAACAGAUUUUCCCCAUCCAUUGUGUUAGUUGAAGACCAGGGGGAUAUGCUUUCCUCACUCAAUGCUUCAAAAUCCUCUACUUCAGGUACUCUAGUGUCUGGGAUCAUGUGCGAAUGGUAGUUAUCUGAAGCAGCCACUUGUACUUGCAUUUGUAAAUUGUCAGGAUUGUUUGGAUAAGUAAAUGCAGAAGGUCCAUUGGAAUCAUCUCUGUCCAAUCUUGACAUUUUCUGGCCAUGCUCUAUAUAUUCGGACUGCUUAUGCCCAUACCUGGAUCCCUCAUCCAUAAGUGGACAACUGUUUUCAUGGCUGUAAAAUUCCUGGAAUGUGGUCUUCUCCAUCUGUAGAAGAUUUGUUAAAGUUGGAAAAUAAACCUCACUGUGUUUGCCCCCAUUUAUAAAAUCUUCUGCUUCUGAAUUGGAGCCUGAGGAGGAUCUUAGUCCUCCAGUGCCUUGAAUGAUUGAGGAAUCAAAAGAAUCUUGUGAUGAUAUGACUUCUUCCUCCAUGCUCUGACUAUGUGCAUCCAUUAGGCUCCUCCUUUCUAUUCCUGUGGUUUCAUUGUCUCUUUGAUGCUCUGUUAAUUCAUGGUGUGCCAUAUAGCUUCCAUUGUAGAUUGUUUGACUUGAUACCUUUUCAAGACAUCUGGUGGUGUCAUCUUGAUUUAUAAUGCAGACUUCUGAUUCCUCAACUAGUGUAUCUGUCCCAAUGUUGUCGCAUGUCCUGUUGUUGCUUGUUGACUUGAGAGGAAAUCGUGCUGCCAGAGACAUGAAGGCAGAACUGCAAAGAGAAGGGAAGAAAUCAUUAACAUCGUUUACUCUUCAUGGGAAAUUUGGUUGUGAAAUUAUGUGAAAAUAAUAAAUUACCUUGAAAGAUGGUCUGAAACAUUUUGGGUAAGGAAGACUCCUAUCACUGAGUCAACAACUGAUCCUUUCCAUCGCGAGAAGCGUCUAUCUCCUGUGAAGCGUGUCAUUUUAUUUUAUGAUUAAUAUCAUCUACUUGGAUAACUUUCUAUGUAAGUAGUUGAUUUUCUUAGUUGGUUCACAUUAGAUAUAAUAUUUGUCAUAUAGAAACUUUUAGCAAACUUUCUGAUGACUUUAAUUUGAGCUCUACUACAUUAAAUCUAUGCCUUCUUUGUUAAUUUUUUUCUUAAUUAUUAUUUUUUUAUUGAUUUAAAUUUCUAUGUGCCAGUUCUGUUCUCAUCUUUCAUUAUUAUUAUUUUUUAAACUGAGUUAGAUUUACAUUUUCCAUGCAUAGUACACUUUCUUCAUCAUUGGUUCUCUGUUUGCCUCUUCUACAUAACACCUACCAAAUUUUUUAUUAGUUGCAAAUUUGCCAUUUGGUAAGUAUUUUAUUUAGAGAAUUUAUUCUAAAAGAAAAACUCAUUCUCUCAAUUUCUGCAAUUCAGUGAUGGUUUUUUUUAUCCAAUUGUUUCCCAUAUUAUUCUUUGUUUCUUAAUAUUUGAUCUUUUGAACUUCAUAUAGUGACUUUCUAGUUUUGUAAUACUCUGUGUUUAUUCAUACAUCUCUUUCUGGUUUUGUUCUGAUGUGUCAACUCUUUUAUGUUUUCAGUUAGCUCUGCUAUUAAAUAAUUUUAAGAGCAUGCCAUAAUAAAAAAUUCAAAAGGGAUCUGACUAUCUUGAGGUUGAAAUAUGUGAAUUGCAGAAGACUUGAUUAUGAUUUGAAGUGAGAGGCUAAAAUUGUUAGGACUGUACCUUGAACAAGGUGCAUUCUUGCAAUAAAUGAGUCAGCUCGGCCACGAAAAACUUUCCUUUCCUCUUCCCACCAUUUCUCCUUCCCCUUGUCAGUUCCGUCAAGGCCUUCGGUUCCUUCUUUACCCAUCAAAAGAUUCCAAAGUCUAUUUGUUUCUGGGUCAAGGUCUACUUUAGGCCGUGGCUUACGUUUCUUCAAAAAUUCAACCUCUCCAUAUGGAACAAGUGCACCAUCUCCUUUGUAUAGGACAAGUGCUUUAUGCUCUUGCCCUAUCAAUUUGUUGCUUCCCUCGUUAAGAUGAAGACCCUCCAUUUUAUAUGUUAUCUCAUCAAUAGGUGUGUGGUAUGCUGGUGGACCUAUAAACAUCAAGAGGUUAUCAAUAUAGUGAGCGGAAAACAUACUAAUAUAUUACAUGGAAUCUUACAAAAUGCUACAGUAAAUUUUUUUAUAAUAUGGAAAUUACCUUGUAUUUUUGCUGAGGAUUUCUGAAGAUCAUAAUUGGCAUCUGGGUUUUUCAGCUUUUUAUUUCUUCUAGCUGACUUCACACUGGAAGUUUGGAGUAACUGUCCAUUCUCCAGUUCAGGAACUUGUUUGGGGGGGGAUUGCUGGUGCAGGUUAUGAUCCUGAAUGUCAGCUAGGGAAGGAAAGCUUUGGACCAGAGUUAGGCUGUUGGUCUCUCCCAUCCUUUCUGUGUGUGAAUGCAGUUCAGAUGAAAACUGUUGCAUUGGCAGAAAGUUUCUGGCAGCCAUGGAGUGAUUGGUCCUGUCAAUGUGAUCUACAGUCAGUCUGUAACGGAUUCAUGGAAGGGGUUAGGUUGCUUAUGGUUCCAGGUGGCUGGUAUUCUACCAUUAAUUCAUUCCGUUGGUCUAUCUGCACAGCUGACUUCACACUAUAUGUUCCAGAGCACAAUUGUGUAGCUUGAGUGUCUGAAUUCAAAAUGAAGGUCCUUUGAUUUCUAUGCUGCAAAUCUUGCUGACCAUCUACUUUGCCCUGGCUUUCAUCUCUGUAGCUUUUGGAGUUGCAGGCUUCCUAGUUCUUUUGGGUUUGCCUUCAGUGAUUACCUUGGGCCUGUGUUUUCUUCGUCUUGGUGGUUUCUGUUGAGGUGUCUUGUUCAGAUCAAUGCCUAAAUCUCCCUUCUCAGAAUCUUUGUUUUCCUGGUGUAGUGUAGAAAUGGCAGCAGGUGACGAGUCUACAAUGCUCUGCAGGAGUUCAUCACUAUGUUGCUGAGGUACCUGGUUUUCUGUUGAUGUGACUAAAGUCUCCUUGUCUUUCUCAUAACUUGAGAUUUCAUUUCUUGUGAAGUCCAAUGUUGCAGAAAGCUGGUUGUUCUCCAACUUGCUGACUUGAUCUGGUGUUAAUGUUAUUGGUCUGAACUGGAGGGUGUCGGUAACACCAGAGACACCAUCUGAUUCUUUUGGUGGAGAAUUCAGAUCAUAGUACGGUUGGUGUGGUACAAGGAAUCCAUCUGUAGUGAAAAAUCAUUUUUGUUGUUUUCAAUUGGUUGCUUAAUGAAAAGCAAAUUAACAAUGAAAGAAACAUUUUGCAAAUCCAAUGGAGAUGAAGUUAUUCUUUC